rnacentral:misc_RNA from 1 species
UUUCCGUAGGUGAACCUGCGGAAGGAUCAUUAAAAAAUGAGACCUCUUUGAAGGUCUACUAAUAAUCCUACCCUUUGUGAAUUUGUUGUUUGAAAUAAUUUUUUUCUAAAAAAUUAUUGAAUGUCUUUCCCUGUUUUGAUGGAGCUGUAAUAGCAAAGUCAAUCAGGGGAAUGGCAAACGAUAAUUUUUUUUGAAAAGACCUUUUUUUAAAAUUAAACUUUUUGUAUUCAUUUGUCUAAAAUUAUUUUUAUAAUAUAAAAACAACUUUUGACAAUGGAUCUCUUGGUUCUCGCAACGAUGAAGAACGCAGCAAAAUGCGAUAAGUAGUGUGAAUUGCAGAAUACGUGAAUCAUCGAAUCUUCGAACGCAUAUUGCACUUUUUUAGUUUACUAAAAAAGUAUGUCUGUUUGAGUAUCAGUAAAAUAUUCUCAUAAAAACUAUUUGUUUUUAUGGUUAUGAGUGUUUUACGACGAUACAAGUUGUUUCACUUUAAAUUCUUUGUCUUUUAAAAAAUCAUUAAAAACUGAUUUUUUUUAAAAUUGGAUAAAAUUUUCCCGUAAAAAGGAAUAACCUAAACAAUUUUAAAUUAAAUUGGUUUGAUUUCUUUUAAGAUUAAAGGAAAAAAAGUAAAAAUUAACUUGAUCUCAAAUCAGAUAAGAGUACCCGCUGAACUUAAGCAUAUCAAUAAGCGGAGGAAAGAAACUAACUAGGAUUCCCUCAGUAACGGCGAGUGAAGCGGGAAGAGCUCAAAUUUGAAAUCUUCAAGGUUCUACCUUGACGAAUUGUAGUUUAAAGAAGUGUUUUCUGUUGGAGUUUUGGUAAAAGUUCUUUGGAAUAGGACAUCAUAGAGGGUGAGAAUCCCGUAUUUGACCAUUAUUUCCAACUUUGUGAUACACUUUCAAAGAGUCGGAUUGUUUGGGAAUGCAGUCCAAAAUGGGUGGUAAAUUUCAUCUAAAGCUAAAUACUGGCGAGAGACCGAUAGCGAACAAGUACCGUGAGGGAAAGAUGAAAAGAACUUUGAAAAGAGAGUUAAACAGUACGUGAAAUUGUCAAAAGGGAAGCGUUUGACACCAGUGUUGUUUUCUCGAAAUCAAUUAAAAAUGGUGGGAUUUUGUGUUGUAUUGACUUUAUCAGCUUUCUGCACUUUUUUCCUGUCUUUUUUAAUGCACUUUUCGAUUAACAAGUCAACAUCAAUUUCUUUUGUUGUAAAAGGGUCAUUGGAAGGUGGCUUUCUUUUCGGAGAAAGUGUUUAUAGCCUUUGACUUCUGCAAUCGGAGAGAUUGAGGUCUGCAGCGUAGAUCCUUCGGGUUAGAUGCAUUUGUGCUAAGCUAUAGCCUUUCAUAGACAACUUGUUGACUAUGAUCAGUCAUGUAGCUUACUCGCUUAUGUCAUUU